GGGAGGCGGAAAAGGUGGCAUGGGCGGAGGAAUGCCAAUGAUGAUGAUGAUGCCAAUGGGCGGCGGUGGAAUGCCAAUGGGUGGUGGUAAAGGAGGAAUGGGAGGAGGUAUGGGCGGAGGAAUGCCAAUGGGAGGCGGUAUGGGCGGAGGAAUGCCAAUGGGAGGCGGUAUGGCGGAGGAAUGCCAAUGGGAGGCGGCAUGGGCGGUGGAAUGGGAGGUGGUAUGAGUAAAAUGAUGAUGCAACUAAUGAUGGGCGGUGGAAUGGGUGGUAUGCCAAUGGGAGGUGGAAUGGGCGGUGGAAUGAUGCCGAUGCCAAUGGGUGGAAAAGGAGGAAUGGGCGGUGGUAUGGGUGGAGGAAUGGGCGGCGGUAGGG